UGGGGAAUUUUGGACAAUGGGCGAAAGCCUGAUCCAGCCAUGCCGCGUGCGGGAAGAAGGCCUUCGGGUUGUAAACCGCUUUUGUCAGGGAAGAAAUCCUUUGGGCUAAUACCCCUGGGGGAUGACGGUACCUGAAGAAUAAGCACCGGCUAACUACGUGCCAGCAGCCGCGGUAAUACGUAGGGUGCAAGCGUUAAUCGGAAUUACUGGGCGUAAAGCGUGCGCAGGCGGUUAUGCAAGACAGAUGUGAAAUCCCCGGGCUCAACCUGGGAACUGCAUUUGUGACUGCAUAGCUGGAGUGCGGCAGAGGGGGAUGGAAUUCCGCGUGUAGCAGUGAAAUGCGUAGAUAUGCGGAGGAACACCGAUGGCGAAGGCAAUCCCCUGGGCCUGCACUGACGCUCAUGCACGAAAGCGUGGGGAGCAAACAGG
rnacentral:rRNA from 1 species